AUGAAGAGGGUUCCUGCGAAGGUGAUGUGGUAUGCUCCUAUAAUACCACGGUUGAAACGACUGUUCAGAAACAAAGAGCAUGCCAAGUUGAUGCGAUGGCACAGUGAGGACCGUAAGAAAGACGGCAAGUUGAGAGCACCCGCUGACGGGUCGCAGUGGAGAAAAAUCGAGAGAAAGUUCUGGGCUGAGUUUGCAAGUGACCCAAGGAACGUAUGGUUUGCUUUAAGCGCGGAUGGCAUUAAUCCUUUCGGGGAGCAGAGCAACAAUCACAGCACCUGGCCCGUGACUCUAUGUAUGUAUAACCUUCCUCCUUGGAUGUGCAUGAAGCGGAAAUUCAUUAUGAUGCCAGUUCUCAUCCAAGGCCCUAAGCAACCCGGCAACGACAUUGAUGUGUACCUAAGGCCAUUAGUUGAAGAACUCUUACAGCUGUGGAAUGGAACAGGUGUACGUGCGUGGGAUGAGCACAUGGGGGAAGAAUUUGACCUAAAGGCGUUGCUGUUCGUGACCAUCAAUGAUUGGCCCGCUCUCAGUAACCUUUCAGGACAGACAAACAAGCGAUACCACGCAUGCACGCACUGUUUAGCUGACACCGAAAGUAUAUACCUGGACAGAUGCAGGAAGAAUGUCUACCUAGGCCAUCGUCGAUUUCUCCCGACCAACCAUCAUUGUCGAAAGAAAGGCAAGCAUUUCAAAGGCGAGGCAGAUCACCGGAAGAAGCCCGCCAUGCAUAUCGGUGAUCACGUACUUGCUAUGGUCUCUAAUUUACACGUAAUAUUUGGAAAGGGUCCCGGCGGACUAGCUGUUCCGAAUGACGCUGAGGGACGCGCACCCAUGUGGAAGAAGAAACCUAUAUUUUGGGACCUACCCUACUGGAAAGAGCUAGAGGUACGCUCUUCAAUCGACGUGAUGCACGUGACGAAGAACCUUUGCGUUAACCUAUUAGGCUUCUUGGGCGUGUAUGGGAAGACAAAAGAUACACCUGAGGCACGGGAGGACCUGCAAUGUUUGCACAAAAAGACGACAUGCCUCCAAAGCAGUACGAAGGUCCUGCCAGCUACGCUCUUACCAAAGAAGAGAAGGAAAUCUUUUUUGAAUGCCUGCUCAGUAUGA
rnacentral:rRNA from 1 species